rnacentral:ncRNA from 1 species
UUCAGAACGUCGUGAGACAGUUCGGUCCAUAUCCGGUGUGGGCGUUAGAGCAUUGAGAGGACCUUUCCCUAGUACGAGAGGACCGGGAAGGACGCACCUGUGGUGUACCAGUUAUCGUGCCUACGGUAAACGCUGGGUAGCCAAGUGCGGAGAGGAUAACUGCUGAAAGCAUAUAAGUAGUAAGCCCACCCCAAGAUGAGUGCUCUCUCCUCCGACUUCCCUAG